rnacentral:rRNA from 1 species
UCUGUUCCUUUUUUUCCCUCCGCCUCGGUAAUACGUAGGGGGCAAGCGUUAUCCGGAAUUACUGGGUGUAAAGGGUGCGUAGGUGGUAUGGCAAGUCAGAAGUGAAAACCCAGGGCUUAACUCUGGGACUGCUUUUGAAACUGUCAGACUGGAGUGCAGGAGAGGUAAGCGGAAUUCCUAGUGUAGCGGUGAAAUGCGUAGAUAUUAGGAGGAACAUCAGUGGCGAAGGCGGCUUACUGGACUGAAACUGACACUGAGGCACGAAAGCGUGGGGAGCAAACAGG